UGUCUUGGUUUUGUGUUUAUGUUUUGGGUGAUUUUUGGGUGUUUUUGGUUGGCUUUGGAUUAUGGUUGUGUAUGACUUAGUUUAUGGCCGAGGGGAUGGGUUUUUGGGCUGGUGCUUGGAUUGUGUUUAGGUGGCUGUUUGGCCGUGUAUGAUGGGGUUAUGAAGUGGUUGUGGGUGUAGUUGGAUAAAAGAAGGUGAAUAAGAUGUGAAGGGGGAAGGUGCCACAAGCAUGAAGCUUGAUAAACCAAAUGAGAUCCGCC